UUGUCCUUCGAAGUCUGUUUGUUGCUCGUUUGGAUGCGUUUGGCCUAUUUAUGAUUUGUCCUUCCAUUUAUGCAGUGUGAGGUUUUCUCGGACUCUGUUCUCCUGUGAUAAGACCCGAUUAAAGGGAACCACGGCACACCAGCAGCAGCAGUGCAUCGUCCCUCAUUUCCUCCUGCGCAGCCAGUUGGAGAUGAGAUCUCUCCACAAUAUUUACCCAGGGAAUAAUGAUGUUUGAUCUGACUCUCCUGUGGUGUGUCUCUGCGAGGGCUAUUUUCAACCCACCGCAGCCACCCAGAGAGAGAGAACAGGAGGAAGUGACGAUGACAACGACGACCACUUUGGUCCAGGCAUAAAGGCAUCGCACUUCAACGAUCCAACUGACCUUGACAGCACUCCCCCCGAGGUUGAUCCCUAAUCCUCAUCAAUUAGUCAAUGGUAUAAAUGCUUGCAAAAAAUGCAACACUCCUCCACCUUUGAUCAAAUGAGUGGACUUAGAGAUCAAAAAUGUGUGUGUACAGGCUAUUACUCUGCUGCAGUGGGCUCUGGGAGAGUGCCAAUGAUGAGGCUUUGCAGUUCCUCAGUUGUUGACUUUUAUUUAUCACGACUGCUGCUGCAGUAAUUGAUGAGUGGAUCAAACAGUGUGGAAAAAGAACUGCUGACUUCUUUACUUUUUCUGCUGAAAGGUGACUGUGUCUCUAUUCCCUCUCAGCAGUCAUCUCAAAUUCAAAUCCAAUACUUGGCAAGUAAACUCUUAUUCAAACAGACAGAUUCCGCUCAGAAAAGUUGUUUGGGCAAUAAUUCCUUAGGCUAAACUGUCAGUGUGUUCACAACUCUAGUCCAGCAUGCAUCCGUGUACUGAAUUUGGGGGAUCAUGUCUCAUUUUCAAAUGUCGAAAUAUUAGCAGCUGCAAAAGGUAAAACAGUCAUGGCCCAGUUUCCCCCUAAAUAUUUGUUUUGAAAGCUCCUCAUUGUUUUCCCUAUUGAUUAAAAGAAUGCAGUAAUUACUUUUUCUCGCCCAUUCUUGUGAACUUGUGUAAUGCAACAAAACAAAAUAAUGACAUAAUAUAUGUUUGAAAUGCAAAGCGGCAACGCAGAGCCGGCGCUUUGUUAUUUAUCGUCAUUAUUGUGUGAGGAAACUGCUCCACAAAAUGGAGCAAUGGCUAUUAUCAGGUUGGUAACCAAUAAUUACUUAUCAACUCUGUCUUCAUUAAGCAGCCCCUGUGGAGCAACUGAGCUCAAUAUAGCCCUCCAGGAUCCCCUCCCCUCGCCCCCCCACCAGGAUCCCGCUGCUCACCCUCUACCUCUCGUCAUAUCCCAGUUCCUCUCUUCUCUGCUUUUCAUCCGUUCUUCAAUCUCACCUGGUCUUUGUUGUGCCGUUCUGUCGCUUCCGCUGGCUUCAAUUACGUGUAUUUCAGAGCGGUGAUCACUGUCAUUUUAAAUAAAACAACAUCCUGCUGUUUUAUUUACAUGGCAUGCUGCUCUUUACUUCCCUUACUCUCGCAGGUCUUUCUUUCCCUGAAAAAUUAACCACUUCUCCCUGCACCUCUUUCCAUCAAUCAUCCUGAAGGGGGCUACAAGUACAGAAAAGCUAAAUAGCAAAAGGAGACCGGGCCACUGAAGUCUUUUGGAUCGCAACUGUUGACCAAGCGCCAGACGUGGUGUGCUGUUGGUGACGCAGGACUUGACCUCCAAAAUGCAAACAUUUACGCUCCUGUGGAGCUAAUAUAGUUACACUGCUGAAUGAUGUUCAUGUGUUCACAUUUUAAAAUGUGAUUUGAGUCAUUUGUACCUGAAGCACCUUGUGAAAUAAUAGCUUAUAUACUGGUCACAGUGUUUUGCACUUUCUUUUCAUAUUUAGGGAUCCUCCUACAUUUUGUGUAUUUUCCUCAUUUAUACAUUAAAAAGAUUCCCAGACCCCUGAACUUCCUUUUCAACAGCCUCCUCUCCUGUAAGUGGGGGAAAAGCCAACUGCAGGAGGCACCCGGUAACCACAUGCUACCACAGCUCGGCCUUCCAGCCUCCAACCGUGACACCCUUACACUCAUCCACUCCACAGGGGAAGUGUUGCGCUUUGCUCGCAGACCUCAGUACAAACACAAACAUUUACCCUUGACUAGAUGCUUAUACCUCCCCCAAGCUAUUUUCUCUCAGUUUCACAUGUUUCUUCUCCCCCACACUGCUGUUUUCCACAGAGUUAGUCUUUCUCCUAUCAAAGCUUUCCUCUCCCUCAGGCUACGGCCACACUACAAAAUUUUUGUUUUAAAGGGCAUGUGUGUUGCGCACUAAGCGUUCCCACUGAGCGUCCACACAACGCAGGCAUUUUGUCUUGGGGUUUGAUUCAUAGCAGUCUAGGGCUGUCAACGAAUAUUCUGUAUUCUAAUAUAUAUUCGAAUAGAUGUUAGAUAUUCGAAUGUGAUAAUUAAUAUUGGUUUGUAAAAAGAAAAAAAGACAGCAGCAGCAGCGGUGCAACUGUCUGCUUAGUCGGUGGCGCGCUACUGUAGACUGACUUUAUAUUGCAUGAAUAAAAUACUACAUAGGCUACAACAGUUUCACUGGUUUGAUUGUCGUUGUCAUGCGAAGGAAAAGUUCCAGGUUUACCACAGCACAGCUCGCUCAGAGCACUCAAUGUCGGUUCAAUACUCGUCUAUAUAUGUUAAGAAUAUUUUCUUCACUGCCAUAAAUGCCUUAAAUGGCUUCCACAAAACUCUUGAUCAACUCUUAAUUUGUUUAUUAUUGUCGUUCACUUAAACCGCUGUGCGACGGUGAAAGAGAGUGUGUGUGUGUGCGAACGAGAGGCCAAGGUCUGCGGUCUUGGCCAUUAGUUCAUUUACUUUUUUUUGUGUAGGUAAUAUGUUGCUAAAUAUGUUUAAACUUAAAAGAAAUUACCUUUACAAGUAGUAGUGUGUUAUUGCCGUGCCUAAUGCGCCUAAAUGCGCUGCCGAAUUAGCGGCGGCUUUGCAAAUGCGCGCGUGACUUAUGUCUUCUAUUCAAUCAGAUAUUCAAAUGCGUUUUUUCAAAGCCAAUAUUGGAACGUCAUUUUUGAGCAAUUUUGGCAGCCCUAUAGCAGUCGUGAUGUGUCCUCCAAGUCAUAGUACAGUAUGUCAAAAUGGUGAAAAAGUCAUAGUAUACCAUGUCAAAAAGAAUGAAAAAUAAGUCAUAGUAUAGCGUGUCAAAUUCAUGAAAAAAGGUCAUAGCAUGUAAAAUUGUGAAUAAAGGUCAUAGGAUGUCAAAUAGGUCAUAGUAUAGCAUGUCGAAAUGGUGAAAAAGGUCAAAGCAUGUAAAAUGAAGUCAUAGUAUAGCAUGUGGAAAUGGUAAAAAAAAAAGUCAUAGUAUGUUGAAUAGAAUAAAAAAUGAGUCGUAGUAUAGCAUGUUGAAACGGUAAAAAAAGUCCUACUAUAGCGUGUCCAGGAAAGUCAUACUAUAGCGUGUCGAAAUGGUGGAAAAUGGUCAAAGCAUGUUAAAUGAAGUUAUAGGAUAGUGUGUCGAAAUGGUAAAAAAAAGUCAUAGUAUAGCAUGUCGAAAAUAAUGAUAAAUGAGUCAUAGUGUAGCGUGUCAAAAUCAUGAAAAAAGGUAUUUGAUGUAAAAUUGUGAAUAAAGGUCAUAGGAUGUAAAAUAGGUCAUAAUAUAGCAUGUCGAAAUGGUGAAAAAGGUCAAAGCAUGUAAAAUGAAAUCAUAGUAUAGCAUGUGGAAAUGGUAAAAAAAAGUCAUAGUAUAGUAUGUUGAAUAGAAUAAAAAAUGGGUAAAAAAGGUCAUAGCAUGUUGAAUGAAGUCAUAGUAUAGAGUCAAAGCAUGUAAAAUGAAGUCAUAGUAUAGCAUGUCAAAAUGGUGAAAAAGGUCAAAGCAAGUAAAAUGAAGUAAUAUGAUAGUGUGUUGAAAUGGUAAAAAAAAGUCAUAGUAUAGCAUGUUAAAUAAAAUGAAAAAUGAGUCAUAGUAUAGCAUGGCGAAAUGGUAAAAAAAAGUAUAGCAUUUCGAAAAGAAUGAAAAAUGACUUUGUAUAGGGUGUCAAAAUCGUGAAAAAAGGUCAUAGCAUGUCAAAAUAGUGAAAAAAGGUCAAAGCAUGUUAAAUAAAGUCAUAGUAUACCAUGUCGAAAUUAUAAAAAAGUCAUAGUAUAGCAUGUCGAAUAGAAUAAAAAAUGAGUCAUAGUAUAGCGUGUCAAAUAAAGUCAUAGUAGUGUGUCAACAUGGUUGAAAAUUUGUCAAAGCAAGUAAAAUAAAGUAAUAGGAUAGUGUGUCGAAAUGGUAAAAAAAAGUAAUAGUAUAGCAUGUCAAAAAGAAUGAUAAAUGAGUCAUUGUGUAGCGUGUCAAAAUCAUGAAAAAAGGUAUUUGAUGUAAAAUUUUGAAUAAAGGUCAUAGGAUGUCAAAUAGGUCAUAGUAUAGCAUGUCGAAAUGGUGAAAAAGGUCAAAGCAUGUAAAAUGAAGUCAUAGUAUAGCAUGUCGAAAUGGUAAAAAAAGUCAUUUUAAUAGCAUGUCGAAUAGAAUAAAAAAUGAGGCAUAGUAUGUUAGGAAUUUAAGAAGAAGUGCACCCCUAGCAGAAGUAUGUUACAUGUAUCAAUGUGUUUAGUGUAGAAUUGUAGUUUGUGUGAUGUUUGAUAUUAGAUAUUACAUUUGUAUGUUAAAUGAAGUGAAUGUAUUAUAGUCAAUAAAAUUGUAUAGUCAUGUAAAUCAUAUAAAUACUGUACAUAUUAACAUCCUGUCAUGAUGUAAUGUUAAAACCUGGGGAUAGAAGCUAAUUGCCGUCCUUUAUGGAUUUCUCCCAUCUUUCCCCAAGAGAGGGUUUUUGUUGGGAGUUUUUUCUCCUGUCAGGUAUUAGUUAAGCAACUGGAUGCAAGACAGCCAAAUGAGGCAAAGUAUUGCACCAGAUAAACUGUGAUAAACCAUUAAGUACUGUGAUCUUAUAUGUUGUGUUGUAAUUGAAGUGUACUAGUUACAAGAUGAAGACAAACUAUGUAUACGAGGUUAUAUUCACUCAUUGAGGCAUAAAGCCAAAAUGUUUCUACAUAGAAUGCAUUGGAAUGUGAGGGAGAGAUGACACAGAGAGGGCUUUCAGAUUCACACGUGGCAGUUCACACCUGGAUGUGAAAAGGCUGGACCAGGAAGAGAUACUUGAAGAAGGAGCCAAUGACAUUCAAAUACACCCAGAAGACAACCGCCCCGGGAGCUUUCGAAUCAUCAAAAGGGAAGGAGAACAAUUAGAAUUUUUCUGCAGCCGGUUUGAUAAAUCACCUUUGACUUGGUCGGAGAAUUCUCUAUUUUGCGAAAUAUAUUACUAUUCACGUUGUAUUUCACUUUGUAAAUUGUAUUCCUUAUCACUUUGUUUAGAUAUUAAAUACUUUUUGAUUUUUAAAGUUCAA